CAAUGUUCCUGCAGUGCAGUA
rnacentral:miRNA from 2 species